UACGUAGGCAGCAAGCGUUGUUCGGAGUUACUGGGCGUAAAGGGUGUGUAGGCGGUUCUAUAAGUUUGGGGUGAAAUCUCCCGGCUCAACCGGGAGGGUGCGCCGAAAACUGGAGGACUGGAGUGCGGGAGAGGAGAGUGGAAUUCCUGGUGUAGCGGUGAAAUGCGUAGAUAUCAGGAGGAACGCCGGUGGCGAAAGCGACUCUCUGGUCCGCAACUGACGCUGAGGCGCGAAAGCCAGGGGAGCAAACGGG
rnacentral:rRNA from 1 species